rnacentral:lncRNA from 1 species
UUUUCCCAUGCAGGCAAUGUCAGUGGCUCAAAAAAGCAACCGACUUAAAAGUUCCAGGGCCUUGGCCUUGAGGCAGCUCCCUCCCUCUCUCCCCUGACUGCAGGACCAAUAGUUUCUGCCCUUCUCUAUAAAUACUUUGCUCUUUUGUACCAUUCCUUGCUGAGUUUUCCUCUCUCUGCAGGUACCUUUGCUUCGGUCUGCCAGAAACUCUGAAGCCUGAGUUUAAACCUUGCUUCCUGGGCAAAGUCUCCCUUAGGCUCCUGCUGGGAAUCUUGGUAUCUUUCAGUAUCAUUGCCUGAGAAGUCAAGGAAAUUUCAAAGCAGAACUCUGGCAGAAAGUCCGCCUCACAGACACAGCCAGCCUGGGACAGGCACCGAAGAGAGGUUUCUUUUCAACAUGACCAGCACAAAGACGCAGUCGUCCGUUUGAUUAAAAAGUCAUCAGAUGAGUCAAGCACAUCGUUACUAAAAGAGAGUUUAUUUCCUGGUCUGUACCAAAAGCAAAUAUACCUGCCUCCAUAAGGUGCAGCCAGAAGAAGAAUGAGGAGGGGAAGGGAAGAGGAAGAGGAGGAGGAGGAAGAAGGCGACGAGAACUAUAUCGAGAGUCCCACGUUCCCUGGAGUCUGGGAUUGAGAAAAGACAGUGGAUGUCACCAGUCACAAUGCACUGUUUUCAGAAAAGAAUAUGAUAAAACUGUGAUACGUGACCUUGCUUUCUGAUAAAACUUUCAAAACGAUUUGAACGGCUUUUUUCUAACCUUUCAAAACACUCAAAAAUUAAAGUGGCUCACAUAAGAAGUAAUUAAUUAAAGGCAGCAUUUGUAAACAUGAAACUGAGAAUAAAGCUUCUUUUUGGAACA